GCCGUACUAGAGAAAUGGUUAACUCGUCGGCCUCCUAUUGAAAAGUCAAUAAGCCGAAGAUUCCCGGUUCGAGUCCGGGGUGCGGUG